AGCGAACGCUGGCGGCAUGCUUAACACAUGCAAGUCGCACGGGCAGCAAUGUCAGUGGCGGACGGGUGAGUAACGCGUAGGAACGUGUCCUGAGGUGGGGGACAACCCCGGGAAACUGGGGCUAAUACCGCAUAUGGGCUGAGGCCCAAAGCCGAGAGGCGCCUUUGGAGCGGCCUGCGUCCGAUUAGGUAGUUGGUGGGGUAAAGGCCUACCAGGCCUGCGAUCGGUAGCUGGUCUGAGAGGACGACCAGCCACACUGGGACUGAGACACGGCCCAGACUCAUACGGGAGGGAGCAGUGGGGAAUAUUGGACAAUGGGCGGAAGGCUGAUCCAGCAAUGCCGCGUGAGUGAAGAAGGUCUUCGGAUAGAAAAGCCCUUUCGACGGGGACGAUGAUGACGGUACCCGUAGAAGAAGCCCCGGCUAACUUCGUG
rnacentral:rRNA from 1 species